UUUUGAAUGGAUUUAUUCGUCUUUAAAGUUGGAGGAGAGAGAGUGAGAGACAGCAGAGAAAACGACUGUCUGUUUCUCUGUUGUCUCUCACUCUCUCACCUCCAACUUUAAAGGCGCAUAACUCGCUUCAAA
rnacentral:sRNA from 13 species